UAUUGAACGCAUAUUGCGGCCACGGGUCCGUCCUGUGGCCACGCCCGUCUGAGGGUCGGCGACGUUGUACCCAUCGCUGGGAGGCUCUCGCCUAGCGCCUUGAGCUUUCGUAGCCUGAGCGGCUCCGUGGCUUGAAAUGCAGACUGAGAAGAAGAAGAAAAGAAAGUAGUCCUCGCGAAUCGCUGUCCUCGCGCGAGCAAAGGACAUGGCCCGGAUUGAUAACAAUACUGUCUUUGCGAGCGAGCGGUUUUUGAAAGUGUUAGGACGGACUUUGAUCGCAUUUCCGACCUCAGAUCGGACGAGAUUACCCGCUGAAUUUAAGCAUAUCAC
rnacentral:rRNA from 1 species